UGGGGAAUAUUGGACAAUGGGCGAAAGCCUGAUCCAGCCAUGCCGCGUGUGUGAAGAAGGCCUUUUGGUUGUAAAGCACUUUAAGUGGGGAGGAAAAGCUUAUGGUUAAUACCCAUAAGCCCUGACGUUACCCACAGAAUAAGCACCGGCUAACUCUGUGCCAGCAGCCGCGGUAAUACAGAGGGUGCAAGCGUUAAUCGGGAUUACUGGGCGUAAAGCGCGCGUAGGUGGUUAUUUAAGUCAGAUGUGAAAGCCCCGGGCUUAACCUGGGAACUGCAUCUGAUACUGGAUAACUAGAGUAGGUGAGAGGGGAGUAGAAUUCCAGGUGUAGCGGUGAAAUGCGUAGAGAUCUGGAGGAAUACCGAUGGCGAAGGCAGCUCCCUGGCAUCAUACUGACACUGAGGUGCGAAAGCGUGGGUAGCAAACAGGAUUAGAUACCCUGGUAGUCCACGCCGUAAACGAUGUCUACCAGUCGUUGGGUCUUUUAAAGACUUAGUGACGCAGUUAACGCAAUAAGUAGACCGCCUGGGGAGUACGGCCGCAAGGUUA
rnacentral:rRNA from 1 species